rnacentral:lncRNA from 1 species
ACGAUGUUAUAAUAAUAAAAAUAAUAAAUAUUUACAAAAAUAGAAACUAAAAUAUAAAUAAAUGCUACCAAUAAGCUGGCAAAAUAAUACGUAUCGUUAUGGAUAUGACCUCCUGGCAAUGAGAAUCGUGUUUUUUUAUGUGGAACAAGAAACAAGCUAUUGUUGAGAUGAUUUUGUAUUAUUUAUUUAUUUUUCUGGAUGAAAUUUUUUGCCAAAUUUCUUCUUCUACAGCGGAAUUCCCAAAUAGUCAAAAGUAGAGUAGGAAUUAAUUAAGGCAGGUUUGACUCGUUAACCGGCUUCCUUCGCUGGUCGUCGCCAAAGGUCAAACACGGGCGUCGACUGCUACUUCCUCAGAUUCAUUUCACAUGCUCUUCUUCGCCAUCGCUUAUCGCUUUCCCUCACCAACCAUUCAACUCUGUACGUAGUCGAAACCAACCCAUGCGAUCAUUCACCAUCACCAUUGCGUAGCUAAUUUUCCUUUGCUGCUGUCACUCGGUAUGUUGACGACCUAUGAAGCGAUUCAUUUAACCCAUCCCUCCCCUAUCAGACGUUGACGGCUUAUUUCCUAAAAAUAAUUGGAGUAUACGGUCAAAGCCUUUUCUUCAAUUGAAAAAAAAUAAAAGAAUAAAAAUAUUGUUUCCUCCGCCGCCUCUGCACCGCUGUUUCCGUGGCGGGCGCUGCUGUCACGCACCGCCGACCUCGAUUUUUUUCUGGACGCGCCGCCCUCCGCUGUCGGUCGUUGGAUCGGAGCUGGAAACCUCCAUCCCACCGUCGGUGCUGGUGGCGGCCGCCUCCCUCGUGAUCUUCCGUGAUCCGGGAGGGCAAGUCGCCGUCGACGUCGGUGGCGGUCACGUGCCCUCGCACAGCCACGUCGUCGGCACACACGCACACAAAAACUAGUAAAUCUUUCCCGCAAUACUUUGGCGCACCGCUUUCCAUUUGUCGGCCGCGUCACGUGGCGGUCGACACACAGCCGUCCUAUUUCCCGGCUUUUGAGCGCCUCCCUCUUUUUGUCAUUAUAUUACACUACGCGUUCGCUCCAAACGAUGUCCGGAACGUCCCGUUACAGCAAUUACGGAUUAAUUAGUAACCCCACCCGACCACCUCACUUGUUUUAUGGGACCAAUUCUUUUUUUAAUAUAUAUAUAUAU